UGUGAUUUCAUCCUCCUAUAUAUGAUAAAAGAAGUUCCUAGUCUUUGCCCUAGCUCUCACUUCGCUAUAUAUACGAUCAUUCCAGAGCCAGAAGUCCCCAGUUCCAAAUUCGCGGACAUAAACCCUAAUGUUCGUGAUUUAGGGGAUUUAGGGUUGGCAUUUACUCUUUGUAAUUUUCUCUUGGUUCUUCAUGAGGGUAGUGAUUCCUUUCGGCGCUUACUCAUAGAUCCUCCAAUUCAAUCCAAUGGAGUUUACUUGAUGUGGUUUUAUUCCUGCAACUUGUAAUCUGAUUUUGAUCUAUAGCCCUGGUGUAAUAAUCGUUUUUGGAAUUAGAUGUGAUGAAAAAAUAUGCAAUUGUAGUAGUAGCAAUUAAAUUAUGAAAAUCUUGUUAGAAGAUUUUGAUAUUCUGUUCACCAGAAAAGAAAGAUAAGAUAUUAAUUCAGAAACCUUCUGCUUUGGUUCAUAAAUAGAUCCAAAAUAAAUAUUUCUACAAGACUUGCAACUGAACAGGAAAAAAAAAUGGACAUUUUCGUUUUCAAUUGGAGGAAAGAAAUUUGGUCUGUAAAAUAAAUGUAAGAUAGAAUGAAUGGAGUUCGAUGAAUUCUGAGCCUCGCACGGUUCUUAAUACCC